rnacentral:rRNA from 1 species
UGCGGAAGGAUCAUUACUGAUUUGCUUAAUUGCACCACAUGUGUUUUUCUUUGAAACAAACUUGCUUUGGCGGUGGGCCCAGCCUGCCGCCAGAGGUCUAAACUUACAACCAAUUUUUUAUCAACUUGUCACACCAGAUUAUUACUAAUAGUCAAAACUUUCAACAACGGAUCUCUUGGUUCUCGCAUCGAUGAAGAACGCAGCGAAAUGCGAUACGUAAUAUGAAUUGCAGAUAUUCGUGAAUCAUCGAAUCUUUGAACGCACAUUGCGCCCUCUGGUAUUCCGGAGGGCAUGCCUGUUUGAGCGUCGUUUCUCCCUCAAACCGCUGGGUUUGGUGUUGAGCAAUACGACUUGGGUUUGCUUGAAAGACGGUAGUGGUAAGGCGGGAUCGCUUUGACAAUGGCUUAGGUCUAACCAAAAACAUUGUUUGCGGCGGUAACGUCCACCACGUAUAUCUUCAAACUUUGACCUCAAAUCAGGUAGGACUACCCGCUGAACUUAAGCAUAUCAAA